AUAAGCCAUGCGAGUCAACAUAGCAAUAUGUGGCAUACGGCUCAGUAACACGUAGUCAACAUGCCCAGGGGACGUGGAUAACCUCGGGAAACUGAGGAUAAACCACGAUAGGUCAUCACUUCUGGAAUGGGUAAUGACUUAAAUCUACAUGGCCCCUGGAUUGGACUGCGGCCGAUCAGGCUGUUGGUGAGGUAAUGGCCCACCAAACCUGUAACCGGUACGGGCUCUGAGAGGAGGAGCCCGGAGAUGGGCACUGAGACAAGGGCCCAGGCCCUAUGGGGCGCAGCAGGCGCGAAACCUCUGCAAUAGGCGAAAGCUUGACAGGGUUACUCUGAGUGAUUUCCGUUAAGGAGAUCUUUUGGCACCUCUAAAAAUGGUGCAGAAUAAGGGGUGGGCAAGUCUGGUGUCAGCCGCCGCGGUAAUACCAGCACCCCGAGUGGUCGGGACGUUUAUUGGGCCUAAAGCAUCCGUAGCCGGUUCUACAAGUCUUCCGUUAAAUCCACCUGCUUAACAGAUGGGCUGCGGAAGAUACUAUAGAGCUAGGAGGCGGGAGAGGCAAGCGGUACUCGAUGGGUAGGGGUAAAAUCCGUUGAUCCAUUGAAGACCACCAGUGGCGAAGGCGGCUUGCCAGAACGCGCCCGACGGUGAGGGAUGAAAGCUGGGGGAGCAAACCGGAUUAGAUACCCGGGUAGUCCCAGCUGUAAACGAUGCAGACUCGGUGAUGAGUUGGCUUAUUGCUAACUCAGUGCCGCAGGGAAGCCGUUAAGUUUGCCGCCUGGGGAGUACGGUCGCAAGACUGAAACUUAAAGGAAUUGGCGGGGGAGCACCACAAGGGGUGAAGCCUGCGGUUCAAUUGGAGUCAACGCCGGAAAUCUUACCGGGGGCGACAGCAGAGUGAAGGUCAAGCUGAAGACUUUACCAGACAAGCUGAGAGG
rnacentral:rRNA from 1 species